AAUGAACGUUGGCGGCGUGGAUUAGGCAUGCAAGUCGUGCGGCAGCAGGCCCCGCAAGGGGUGCUGGCGAGCGGCGAAAGGGUCAGUAACACGUGGAUAACCUACCCCCGGGCCCGGAAUAGCGGCGGGAAACUGCCGGUAAUGCCGGAUAAUGUCCCUGGACCAAAGGUGUGAUUCCGUCCGAGGAUGGGUCCGCGUCCUAUUAGCUAGUUGGUGAGGUAAUGGCCCACCAAGGCAAAGAUGGGUAGGGGGUGUGAGAGCAUGACCCCCGACACUGGGACUGAGACACUGCCCAGACACCUACGGGUGGCUGCAGUCGAGAAUCUUCGGCAAUGGGCGCAAGCCUGACCGAGCGACGCCGCGUGCGGGAUGAAGGCCUUCGGGUUGUAAACCGCUGUCGUAGGGGAACAAAUGUAUGAGGGUACUCCCUUGUAUUUGAGUGAUCCUAGGAGGAAGGAGAGGCUAAGCUCGUGCCAGCCGCCGCCGUAACAC
rnacentral:rRNA from 1 species